rnacentral:lncRNA from 1 species
GUGUUGCAUAUAUUGCGUUACAAACAUGGAAAGCAGCUAUGUUUUCUGACCCUUUUAACUUCACUGCAAAUUGGACAGGACCAAAUGUUUGUUCCUAUGGUGGGGUGUUUUGUGCUCAAUCUUUAACCAAUGAUUCUAUUAGAGUUGUAGCUGGCAUUGAUCUUAACCAUGCUGAUAUUGCUGGUUAUUUAGUUCCAGAACUUGGUCUUCUCACAGAUCUAGUUCUUUUCCACCUCAACUCGAAUCGUUUUUGUGGUAUCGUACCUAAAACCUUUAGCCAUUUGAAGCUUCUUAGGGAGCUUGAUUUGAGCAACAAUAGGUUUGUUGGUGGGUUCCCUAAAGUGGUUCUUUCUUUGCCUUCUUUAAAGUUCUUGGAUCUAAGGUUUAAUGACUUUGAAGGGCCAGUUCCUUCUAAACUUUUCGACAAAGAUUUGGAUGCUUUGUUCCUUAAUGAUAAUAGAUUUCGUUUUGGCAUUCCUGACAACUUGGGCAACUCCCCUGUUUCUGUUCUUGUAUUUGCUAAUAACAAUCUUGGAGGAUGCAUUCCAGCAAGCAUCGGGAAAAUGGGCAACACUCUGAACGAGCUUAUACUAAUGAAUGAUAAUCUAACUGGUUGUUUGCCAAUGGAGAUUGGAAUGCUGAAGAAGUUAACAGUCUUUGACGUGAGCUUUAACAAGAUUCAAGGCCCGUUGCCAUCAACUGUGAGCAGAAUGAGGAGUGUUGAGCAACUCAAUGUGGCUCACAACAAGCUCACUGGUGUUAUACCAGCUAGUAUUUGCCAACUCCCCAGGUUACAAAACUUUACUUAUUCUUUCAAUUAUUUCACUGGGGAAGCUCCGGUUUGUGCUGCAGCUAGAUCUGGUAGAGUCAUUGACGGUGAAGAAAAUUGCAUUGCUGGAAAGGAAGACCAAAGAUCUGCUAAAGAAUGCUCUUCUGAUGAUGCAAAACCAUAUGAUUGUAGAAAAUCUCAGUGCUUUAGCCGUUCAGCUAUAUCUCCUGUAGUAAAACCAAGACCAAAACCAACCCCUAAGCCAAAAAGACCACCAGUUCAGAACAAACCACCAGCACCUAAGCCAUCUCCUCCUACAAAACCUAUUGUACCAAUUGAAUCUCCACCACCACCUUCUUCCAAAUCUUCGGGGUCCCAUUUUAAGCGCUCUCCGCCGCCACCUCAAUCAACUCCUCCGCCAUCACCACCACCACCACCACCUGUUUAUAGCAGUUCCCCGUCGCAUCAACAUAGAAGUCCACCACCUCCUACCCACAAAAUUUCACCUGUAACUCGUCACGCUCCACCUCCUCCACCUCCACCAAGUCCGGUAUAUUAUCACCACCCAUCACCACCACCUCCACAACCAGUAUAUUACGCGCCACCAACAUAUAAACCUCAAUCACCACCACCACCUCCACCACCAGUACAUUACGAGCCACCAACGUACACACCUCAAUCACCACCACCACCUCCACCAGUACAUUACGAGCCACCACCAUACACACCUCAAUCACCACCACCUCCACCAGUACAUUACGAACCACCAACGUACACACCUCAAUCGCCACCACCACCAGUAUAUGUGACACCGUCUUCACCACCACCACCAGUAUAUGAGCAUCCAAAACCUCCAACUCCAACUCCAUCACCACCAGCUGGGUACACACCUCCCCAGGAGCCAUCACAUCCUGCCCCACCUACCCCACCUUGUAACGAGACACCACCCCCACCACCUAGUACCCCACAUUGGCAACCAAAACCAUCUCCUCCCCCUACAUAUAACCCAUCACCAUCAUAUACCCAAAGCCCCCCGCCGCCACCUCCUACUUACACCUACUCUUCACCGCCGCCACCAUCAUCAUCACCUCCCCCUCCCACUUACUACUACUCAUCACCGCCUCCGCCGCCACCAUCACCUCCACCGCCAUCACCAUCACCACCACCCCCAAGUUACGAACACGUUCCACUUCCACCCAUUGUAGGAGUCUCCUAUGCAUCUCCACCACCACCAGUCAUUCCAUAUUAUUGAGCCCGGGGUUAAUUAACCAUUAGCCUCAGUUCAUUAUCUUUAAUUUUCCAUUAACAGAUGGAGAUUUGGAGGAGAAGAAUGGAAUUCUUUUUUCUUUUUCUUUUUUUGAUUGGGAAUUAUGUAUACUUUGUUAUUUAUUUUGUUUUUUUAAUUAUCUUGAGUUGA